AAACAACAGAGCCUAGGGUCAGAUGCAGCAUUGCAUUUUUGGUUUGUGGUGGAGAGACAUGGGGCCAGGGAUUAACCCUUUUCUUUUCCCCCUAGGACUGAUGAUUGAAAUAAUUAGAAAGAGCAAGUCAUGAUGCUCACAGCCUCCCUAUCUGCUGGUCUGCAAAUGGAACUUCACCACACUGAGCCACUUCCCAGGACAACAAACCUCACUGACAGCUAUUGACAGUGUUGGCCACUUCACCAUCCCAGAGAAAUCUGGAAAAGAGGUGUUGCGCCACGCCUGAGUUGUAGGACAAAUAAGACUUCAUGAAUUCAUGAAUUCUGAAGCUGGAGCUCCACUCAGUUUAAUUCCCAGACAGUGCUAAGACUCAUCACCUUUUAUUGUCAUUGGAAAACCUUUAUAAAGCGCUACAAAAGGAGCUGCUGGAGGAAAGUCUCUUCUUCAGCAAUGACAGAGCUGCUGCAUGUUCUCAUGUCGUGAGCAGCCCAUUCACAUCAGAGUGGACAUUUUUCACACAGAGUCUCGUUUGGUAGAAGCCAGAGUAAACCAGACUUGCCUCCUGGAACCUGCAUACCAUGACAGUCCAGAGAUCAUACUUAUGAAGAAUUUUUUCCUGAAGACUCAAGGUAAUAAUUGAAAUACAGCAAUCUAAUAAUGUACUGCUGAUCAGCUUACAGCCCCUGUUUUGAGUAAGGUGCCAAACCUACCUU
rnacentral:lncRNA from 14 species